GACAGAGGGUGCAAACGUUGCUCGGAAUCACUGGGCGUAAAGGGCGUGUAGGCGGGAAGGAUAGUCAGAUGUGAAAUCCCCAGGCUCAACCUGGGAACUGCAUUUGAAACUCCCUUUCUUGAGUAUCGGAGAGGAAAGCGGAAUUCCUGGUGUAGAGGUGAAAUUCGUAGAUAUCAGGAGGAACACCAGUGGCGAAGGCGGCUUUCUGGACGAUUACUGACGCUGAGACGCGAAAGCGUGGGGAGCAAACAGG
rnacentral:rRNA from 1 species